GGAUGAUGCCCACGGGGUGCUGUUGCCUAUAGUUGGUAUAGUUAUGGUUGGUGGACUAUUCUCAGUCCAGCAGUGACAGUGAGCAUUGCUGUAUCUGAUCCACUCAUACCAGCACAACACACACUAACACACCACCACCAUGUCAGUGUCACUGCAGUGCUGAGAAUGAUCCACCACCCAAAUAAUCCUGUCUCUGUAGUGGUCUUGUGGGGGUCCUGACUAUUGAAGAAGAGGGUGAAAGGAGCUAACAAAGCAUGCAGAGAAACAGAUGGACUACAGUCAGUAAUUGUAGAACUACAAAGUGCUUCUAUGUGGAUGCCAAGAAUGUCCAUGUGAACACAGACUUAAGUCCAUGUUCUUUGCAUCUAUUGUACUACAUCUACAGCAACAUCUACAGGGUUUAAAUCUCAGCAGUGGUAUCCUCUGACUGGGCAUCUUUACAUACAUUUUGGCACAUGUCUGAGGAUAAAGGAUGGCCAAAGCCCUGCAAUGGACUGGCACCCUGUCCAAGGUUUCCUGGUGGAACUGGACCUGCUACAACCCUGACCAGGAUAAAGUGGUUGACUGAAAGGACAUUUUUGAGUGUGUUUGAAUGUUUAUAAUAAACAAAUGUAAGAUAUUA